rnacentral:rRNA from 1 species
UACAGAGGUCUCAAGCGUUGUUCGGAAUCAUUGGGCGUAAAGGGCGUGUAGGCGGUUUGUUAAGUCAUGUGUGAAAUCCCUCGGCUCAACCGGGGAACGACGCAUGAAACUGGCAAGCUAGAGUACCAAAGAGGGGGGUGGAAUUCCCGGUGUAGCAGUGAAAUGCGUAGAUAUGCGGAGGAACACCGAUGGCGAAGGCCAUCCCCUGGACCUGUACUGACGCUCAUGCACGAAAGCGUGGGGAGCAAACAGG